CGAAAAUAAUAAAUACCGUUAUCACGUGAAUGUUUGCCGUUUUUCCUUCGUUUUACUAAGGAAAACCAAAAAAUAAUGACCUCCCUACAAAAAAAUUUGUUGGAACGGUCCAAUCGAAAAUUAUUCGACAUUGCGACGCCAAUUCCGUGGGCCCCCACUAACGCAUCACAUCUGGAUCCGAAACUCUACGAGAAAGUUCUUUGCAACGUUUUCGAUCAUAUAGCGAGAUUUCCGGUCAAAAAAUAUCGUUGACUCGGAUACUCGCAUAAAAAAGAAAAAAAACGCACGUCAUAUUAGUGAAUAAAAAACUACUACCUACGCGUUCCCUGUCGCUAUAUACGUACGUUAUUACGGCUCAGAAUCUAAAACGGCUGCGAUAAACAUAGCCGCGCGGUAUGUAUAUUGCAAACGUGUUUCGGAAAUAAAUAUAAUGGAAAGAUGCGUUUGAAUGGAAAAAAAAAAAAAAAAAAAAAAAAAAAAACGAAUCGGACAAAAACAAUGUAUACCGGCGCGCAUCAUGUGAAACGCGCGGUCAUUUUAUUGUUUGAUCGUGAUUUUUCGAUACAAUGCGCAUUAUACAAGUGUAUAACAUUAUAAUAUAUAUGUGAGUGUGUGUGUGUGUGCAGAAAAUAACUUGACCGAAAAUAUACGGAUCGGGAAUAAUAAUAAAAAAAAAAAAAACGCGCGUUUAGUUUUUAAGUUUUUUAUAAUAAUAUUACACGGUAAACCGCGUCCGACGAAAAAUGUGAAACGAUAUUUUCGUAUCGUACGCGUGCGAGCAAUCGACGAUAAUCGACGCUCAUUAUCCCGGAAAGUAUUGAUAAUUCUUUUCGUUUGGGAAAUCCGAAGAACAAGCGGCUCCAUAAUUUAAUGUUUUACUUCCGUUCACUCUUGUCGCCCUCGUUAUCGGAGAAGAGGUAUAAAUCAACACGAAAGGAUUGGACAAUCGUUUGGCCCGCCCGAAAAUUAGGGUGACAAAAAAAAAAAAAAAAAAACAACAACCACGCAAACGUUUUGUAUCAGCUCGUUAAAUUAAAUAUUGACCAAAAACGAUUGCGAGUGGCUUUGUCAACAGUUAAUCGAAAAAUGACUUUCCUAACGUGCCAUUACAGUCAGAUUUCUUCGCAGAAAAAGCACCGUAAUUGAAAAAUCGAAGUAAAAUCGACGGUAGAAAAACGGUCGUAAAACCGAUAAAUUUCUCGUUUCGGUCGGAAUUCGAAAUUCCGGAAAAAUCGUAUGCGCUUCGAGAUAACGCGUGUCGUUCGUCGUUCACUCUGUACAGUAUAACAUGUAAACACCGCGUAUAAUAUUUUUGAACGCCCGCGGGCGUACAUCAUAUUUUACAUUGCGUUAAUAACGGGAUAAUAGUUCUCGGUUGAAAAAUCUCCGCGGCCGGGC